rnacentral:rRNA from 1 species
UGGGGAAUAUUGCGCAAUGGGCGAAAGCCUGACGCAGCGACGCCGCGUGAGGGAUGACGGCCUUCGGGUUGUAAACCUCUUUCAGUAGGGACGAAGCGCAAGUGACGGUACCUACAGAAGAAGCACCGGCCAACUACGUGCCAGCAGCCGCGGUAAUACGUAGGGUGCAAGCGUUGUCCGGAAUUAUUGGGCGUAAAGAGCUCGUAGGCGGUCUGUCACGUCGGCUGUGAAAACCCGAGGCUCAACCUCGGGCCUGCAGUCGAUACGGGCAAACUAGAGUACUGCAGGGGAGACUGGAAUUCCUGGUGUAGCGGUGAAAUGCGCAGAUAUCAGGAGGAACACCGGUGGCGAAGGCGGGUCUCUGGGCAGUAACUGACGCUGAGGAGCGAAAGCGUGGGGAGCGAACA